AUUGAACGCUAGCGGGAUGCUUUACACAUGCAAGUCGAACGGCAGCGCGGACUUCGGUCUGGCGGCGAGUGGCGAACGGGUGAGUAAUGUAUCGGAACGUGCCCAGUAGCGGGGGAUAACUACGCGAAAGCGUAGCUAAUACCGCAUACGCCCUACGGGGGAAAGCAGGGGAGCGUAAGACCUUGCACUAUUGGAGCGGCCGAUAUCGGAUUAGCUAGUUGGUGGGGUAACGGCUCACCAAGGCGACGAUCCGUAGCUGGUUUGAGAGGACGACCAGCCACACUGGGACUGAGACACGGCCCAGACUCCUACGGGAGGCAGCAGUGGGGAAUUUUGGACAAUGGGGGCAACCCUGAUCCAGCCAUCCCGCGUGUGCGAUGAAGGCCUUCGGGUUGUAAAGCACUUUUGGCAGGAAAGAAACGUCGCGGGCUAAUACCCCGUGGAACUGACGGUACCUGCAGAAUAAGCACCGGCUAACUACGUG
rnacentral:rRNA from 1 species